AAUGAACGCUGGCGGCGUGCCUAACACAUGCAAGUCGAACGGAAGGACCCUGAGCUUGUGCCCUUACCGUUAGCGGCGGGCGGGCGAGUAACGCGUGCAUCCCCUACUUCUUUUUCGUGGAUGAUUACGUAAGACAGGUUACUAUACGACAGCAUAUAUUGUACCGCUGUGGUCAAUGGAGAGUCUCGCCUUUUGCGUUUGAACUAGCUGAUUCCGCGCCGCAUUAGCUGGUUGGUAAGGUACCAGCAUACCAAGGCAACGAUGCGUAGCCGACCUGAGAGGGUGAUCGGCCACACUGGAACUGAGACAUGGUCCAGACUCCUACGGGAGGCAGCAGUAGGGAAUCUUCCGCAAUGGGCGAAAGCCUGACGGAGCAACGCCGCGUGAGUGAUGAAGGUCUUCGGAUCGUAAAGCUCUGUUAUUAGGGAAGAACAAAUGUGGAAGUAACUAUGCACGUCUUGACGGUACCUAAUCAGAAAGCCACGGCUAACUACGUG
rnacentral:rRNA from 1 species